AAGAAGAGAUUGUGAUGAAUCAUAAAACCCCAAGCAAUGUCCUGACCAGCUGCCUGGCUAUAAUCACCAGGAGAUUUGACCUUGCCUCUCCUAUCCCUCCCUGAAAGCAGCCUUGCCCAAUGAUUCAGUAAUUUCCAGGUUGAAUGUUCAUCCCACUAUUUACUGAGCAUUGGACAGUUUUCUUUGGAAACACUGGUGGCUGGAGAUCACCCAUUCUGCACAGACUACCUUAUUUCCAGCUUCUAAAUCAAUUCCUGUGGCAGGCUGUGAAGUUUUAGCAUUGAAUAGUGUAUUCACUUCAGCACCUAUUCAACUUAUGGAGUACCUGGGGCAACCAUGGGACAGAACCGGUCAAAUUAUUUCC